rnacentral:sRNA from 1 species
CGUUGCAUACCUUCUUUAAAUUCUUUAUCAUUUUUACGAAUCAAUGGUUCAUAAUAUUUACGAUAUUCUUUUAAGUUUCUUGAUAAAUAUGUAAUAUAAAAGUAUUCAUUUUGAUACCCGACGUUUUGUGUCUUGUUAAUU